CAGUCGCCGCGGGAAUACAGAGGGUGCGAGCGUUAAUCGGAUUUACUGGGCGUAAAGCGUGCGUAGGCGGCUUUUUAAGUCGGAUGUGAAAUCCCUGAGCUUAACUUAGGAAUUGCAUUCGAUACUGGGAAGCUAGAGUAUGGGAGAGGAUGGUAGAAUUCCAGGUGUAGCGGUGAAAUGCGUAGAGAUCUGGAGGAAUACCGAUGGCGAAGGCAGCCAUCUGGCCUAAUACUGACGCUGAGGUACGAAAGCGUGGGGAGCAAACAGGAUUAGAUACCCCAGUAGUCCCUGUCUCUUAUAC
rnacentral:rRNA from 1 species